rnacentral:rRNA from 1 species
AUUGAACGCUGGCGGCGUGCCUAACACAUGCAAGUCGAGCGGUAACAGGUGUAGCAAUACAUGCUGACGAGCGGCGAACGGGUGAGUAAUGCUUCGGAAUCUACCCAAUGGUGGGGAAUAACCAGCCGAAAGGUUGGCUAAUACCGCAUACGUCCCACGGGAGAAAGCAGGGGAUCGCAAGACCUUGCGCCAAUGGAUGAGCCGAAGUCGGAUUAGCUAGUUGGAGGGUAACGGCCUACCAGGGCGACGAUCCGUAGCUGGUCUGAGAGGACGACCAGCCACACUGGGACUGAGACACGGCCCAGACUCCUACGGGAGGCAGCAGUGGGGAAUAUUGGACAAUGGGGGAAACCCUGAUCCAGCGACGCCGCGUGUGUGAAGAAGGCCUGCGGGUUGUAAAGC